UUUGACAGUACAUUGGAUACUCUGCUAACCAGGCCCCAAACAGCCAAGUCCCAGACCAACUGGGAGUCGGAGCCCUGAUCUGUGGCCAUCACAUGCGGCUAAUUGCCUGGACUGUGUCUCCUCUCUGCAGAGGAUCUGCGCGCCUCAGCUCCCAUCGGCUGUGCGCUUGCCAAGCAUGACCAACCCUGAUGAUCCUGAAUGGGAUGCAGUGUGCAGAGCUCCCGGGAGAGGACGAGAUAAUAAUCCUGCUCUGGAACCACACAGAAGCCAUCAGCCCUGUGGCCUCCAGCUGUGACGUCAUCCCAGACCACCAAAUGUGAUCGAGCUCUACUUAACCUUCUAAUAAUAAAUUUUGUAUGCUGAAUUUGUAGAUUUAGAAGAUUGUCAAGAACCAACCUUUCAAUCGGAUGACUAACCGUGGUCACAAGAGCGACGUCUGUUUUUUAUUUGGCACAAGAAAAUGAGUAUUCUGACAUAUGGUUAUGUACUGGGUCUAAUUUCAUGUCUUCAGCAUGAAGACAUAGUCCACCAAAAGAACCAGAUUUUAUUAUGAUACAGAAGGAAAACGUCCUCUUAGCAACGAAGUAGAAAUGGAAUCAGAGGAGCAGACUGCGGAAAGGAAAAGGAAGAUGUGAGAAGAAUGUGACUGGAAGGCCGGAGGUGCGCAGGUGAGUCCUGCAGAGCCCAGGCAGCUGCGGAGAGGAGUGGGCGGAGGUCAGCGAUGCUCCACCUGCAGAACAUCCCAAUCGCACUCUGUACCAAUCACCCACACUCUCCACUGCGCUACAUGAAGGGAGUCCCUCUCCCUGACCCGGGAGCGUGGCUCAGUCCCCUACAUCACAGCCACCUCCCCCGCCAGAGUGAGAAGGACAUCCGCCAGCUCACAGCCUUCCAGGGGCUCCUCUGCCCCAGCCGGAGACUCAAGUCUGGAACAUCUACAGCAGGCUGGCUGCCAAGAGGGCUAGGGACUCUAGGGGCGGUUCCUCUUCGCUUCUUACCAAGGCUUACUGAGCUUCAGACAGAAAGGGGAAUGCCUGGAGAACUGCACUGAGAAAGCUGUGUGGUCUCAGCCACACCCACCCCAGCCACCUGGAAAGCAGGAGCCGCAAUCAUUAGCCACAUCUACUACAAGCUCAGGUGAUGAGUUUCAUCCCACCUCACUGUUCCGCCAUUCCACACAGAGAGGCACAUCACCUCAGGUGGUCAAGUGUCAGCCCUCCUCCGAUCAGACCAUAUACCUGGACCCCGAACCCGCCAGGCCCAUGGGCAGCACCAGUAUGCCGUGCUCACGAUGGCGUGCGAGACCUUUAUUUUCUCCGUAUCACACAUUCUGGACUGUUUCAUUUUAUUUUCAACUGUCUCACUGAAGGGGAAAAAAACUUCACUAAAUAUAUAGUGUGCCUGAGGGUCUCUCCAAGUUUAUUCCUAUGAGACAAAUGUAUCUCCUCAUGGGAACGAAAUCCAAGUCCAGUCCUGGCAGCUCAGUUAAGAAUUACCCUUUCAUCCAGUUUUCCCAAUUUGAGUCUUCAUUUCAGGGAAAAAUAAUAUUUACUUUUGAAUAAAACAGUAUUUGAAUAAAAACAGCAUUGAAAAAGUAUGUGCUAUGAACUGAACAGAACCCUCAGGUGCAGUUUUUAAAUUGAACUAAUUUUAAACUUAUAAAAACUAUUGUGUUAAGCACUGCAUCACCCAAUUUUCUAUGAGCUGGAGAUACAGACCAAUUUUGUCCAUGUUGGUCAAAUGAGCAUCGUGUUAUAUUAUCACACAGCAGGGUCUCUUUAGAGGCAACAAAGAAGAAGACUCAGGAGUCUACCUGGGGCAGAGGCUGGGCAGCACUUCAACACUUCCUAUGACUAUUCAUUGUGAUGCCUUGGUGGGGAGGUUGUGCUUAUUAUCUUUGGGAUGGAGGUCACAGAUACUGUAACAGGCCAGGCCCCCCCAAACAAAACUUAUCUGGUCCAAAACAUUAAGUGCUAAGGCCGAGAACUACCCCUUGCUCUAAAGAAUGAUUUUGUUAAGAAACUAAAGACUCCGAGGUGGAAGCCCUGCUAGUAGACUGUGGCUUCCCUUUGUUUCUCUCCUAAAGUUGACUGAAAGUAAACAGCAUUUAUGACUCAGACGACUGCUGAAAGCAGGGAUUGCGUGACUGGAGUGAGUGACAAAAACAAUCAUAAAUGGCUUUGCCUGUCUUGUUCCCUUUUCAGAGUCAGAGAAAGAAUGAAAUGACCAGUAAUGAUCAUUAAACUGCUGUCUUAUCCUAUCUCAACCAGAGCUAUUCAUUCCGGUUACUCACAGACCCUUGGGCUGGAACCAUAGUAAAUCAGGGUCACCCCCAGUGUGAAUGUAUGAGGCUAGUCCUUUUACUCUGUGCUA